ensembl:lncRNA
GCCUGUUUCUCUCUCUUCCUUUCUUACGACACUGGUUUUCGAGGGUUCCCGUAAUAAAAUGCCACAAACAGCAUAAAUUUAUUGUCUAAGAAAUCUGGAUGGUAGAAGUUUGGAUCUACUGGUCAGAAAGGCCUGUUCCUUCUGAAGGUUCUAGGGAAGAACCCUCUUUGCCUCCUCGAGUUAAUAACGGCUCCUAGCAUCACCAUGAUCUCUGCCACCUCCAUGUCCACAUGGCCCCCUCUCAGUCUCUGUGUCCCUUCUUCUUCCUGUGAAAACACCCGUCAUCGGAUUUGGGCCCAAUCCAGCAUGACAUCAUCCCAAGUUCCUUAACAAUUACAUCCGCCAAGGCCCUAGUUUCAAACAGGGCUACAUUCUGAGUUUCUGAGUGGCUGUGAAUAGUGAGACUAUAUACAACCCACUGUGCCUACCAGCCCAGGCUCUUCUCUCCUAUCAGGUUUUCCAGCAGCUGUAUCUGUCAGAGAACUUGCUUUUCUGACUCUACUCAGAUUUUGCUCACUUUUCUCCAUCCUCACUGUCAUGGUGUUGCUCCUAUCUGUUCUCCACAUGGUCCCCAGGGGGGCCUUUUACAGCUGUAGGCAGAUCUGAUCAAGCAUGCUUUCUUUUAUAAAACCUUUCAAAGCUCCCAGUGUUCUUUAGAAUGAAAUUCAAUGUCAGCAUUCAAGGCUUUUCACGAGUUGUUUCCAACUGUUUUUCUAACCCGCUAUCUCAUCGGGCUCUGCUCUAAUUGCCCUGAGAGCUGUCUCAGCCCACUCUUAACCUUGUUCAAAGGAGACCCUCACCACUGCUACAGCCCUAGCAGGCUUGCUCCAGGAUACGGUCUUGGAGGUCAGGCUCAAUAAAGUAGAGGGGCUCUUGGGGAUCUCUUGGAACAGAUCCCAACCCAGUGUGUGAGGAGGUUGGAGGCCCAUUCUAGAAAUCCUGGGCCAAGCUUCAGACCUGAUGGAUGACAUAAACACAGAUGAGAACUUUGGAGUUAAGGAGACUGGGAACAAGUCUGGAAGGAGACAAGUGGGUAAAAGGGGUGAGAUUCUCAUCUUGAACCUAACUAGUGUGAGGAGUCCACUUACAUAUGAUGGCUAGCUGGUUUGGGCUGGGCUCCUAACCUUCUGUAGAACAGUAGUGUAGCACGCUAUGAUCAGAUUCCACAGUAUCUGUGAUUGGCAGGGAGGGAGGGACACAAGGACCACAGAGCCCAGUGACCUAAUCCUUGUGACUCUCUGUUCUUUUCUGUGUUUAUUCUGUGUGACCACAGGCACAAACAACUCCAGACCAUACUCUUUGUAUCUGUUUGCUGCAGUGGUUUCCUGAACAGCUGAGCAGAUGGAAGACCUGAUUCUUCAGUUUUGAGAAAGUCAGAUUCUGCUUCUCCUGACUCUUGCUCUGUUGCACUUCUAAUUUCUGAGUCAGCUUAGACUGAGCUGAGUGUGAAUCAGGAGACCAACUUCUGCAUCCUAAGGGAGCUUGACUUGGCUUCCAAGGAGUUCAUCUUCGACGCUUAUGACUCUGAGUCCCGAAAAUGAGCCAACGAGGCAAUCUUUCUUCCUCCUGGAUUUGACUGGCACGAGACUGUUUCUAAGACACAGAGGAGCAAGGAUUUGGGGAAGAUGGCCACCUGACGGCAGCUUUUUUCUCCUUGGAUCCCAGCUCCCAAUUCCUCACUUUCAGAGCUGGGAGAGAAGGAGAUGAGGGCUGAGUGCAGGCUUUCAUCCUCCAGACCAAUGCUGACCUGGAGCUGCUCCGGCAUAUAGGAAAGAAAGGCUGGGAUCCUGGGAAAAAAAAUGCUCAUUCUGAGAUCCGUGGCCACAUCUGCUGGAGAGCGCCCAAUGUUUCUGGUUCCUUUGAGGCCAGGUGGGAGCUGGGUCUGGAGCUGUGGCCUCGCCCACCCGGAAGUGGCAGCGUAGGAGGACUUGAUUUGUGUCAGAGAAUGGAGACCUCUCUUGGAGCUUUCAUCAGUGACAGAGAAUCUGUUGGUUUCUAAGCUGCUACUUCCUUGGGGGCACAAAAUGUUUUCCCACCAUCUGUGUGACUGGCACCAAAUGGGGGACCCCAAUGAGCAGGUCUGAGCAUGAGCAAGCAGACAAGGGAAAUGGAAGCACAGCGAAGAGAUUCUGGUGCCUAGAGAAGAAGGAGACACUAAGAGGACUCAUCCCAUCACGUGGGAGCCUGCCAGACACAGCAGUGGCAGACUGAGCCAGAACUACAGAAGCCUGCUGGGGGGAUUCUCGAGCACUUCACCACGGAGCCAGCUCAGGAUCUUCCAGUUAAACAGUUUUGCAAAUGAAUCCAGGGAGGGGAUGAGUCCUGAGAAGACAAAUUAGGGGGUAGCUGAGGUCCCAGAGCAAAGAAAUAUAAUGGAAAAAAGCUACAAGGGGAAAGAAAAGUUUAUGAGAGGGACCUCAAAGACUUACUAUGUGAAAAACACAAGGUGCAGAAAUUGAAAAAGAAAGCCAGGUGUGGUGACACAUGCAUGUAAUUCCAGCAUUCUGGGAGGCUGAGGCAGGAGGAUUGCAAGUUUGAGCCCAGCCUGGGUGAUUUAGUGACUAAGUGAGACUCUGUUUAAAAAUUAAAAAUAAAAAAGGCUGGGGAUGUAGCUUAGUGAAAAAGCCCCAUAUUUAAAAAAAAGAUUUUUAAAAAAGAGUUUAUUAAUUCCUUAACAAGUAAUGGGUCCAGGUGAAAGUGACUGAAGGCCAAGGACAGGGCAGGUGUAAGAUGAUGUGACUACAUUAUGAUCUUUCAGGUAGAAAGCACGGGUUACCUACAAUAGAGAAGAAAAAACCAGACUUCCCUUUUGUAACACUGGAGACUGGAAGACAGCGGGGUAGCAUCGACAGAUUGCAGAGUGAAAGGCAGUUAUGCAAAGAGCCAAUGUAAACCUAUAUGGACCUCAUUAGUUGCUAAGGCACAAUUGAAACAAUCUUUGAUAUUUAAAAAUAUAAAGAGCCCUUAUGGAAAUGGUAGGAGACCUGAGGUUGGAGAAGUGAUUAAGAUGAAACAUGUAUGUGUACCACUUCGCCAAGAGGAAUGUAAGUAUUAUGUAUCACAAACAUAUUCAAAUAAAAUUUAAUAAGAUUUAGAGAGCUCCCAUUCCCAAUGUCAGCAAGAUUUAAGAAUCAAGACUAAACUCUAACAAAAUAGCAAGGAGUCAUGAAUACAGACUUUAAAUGAGUAAGGCAAAAAGAAGAAAGCAGUAUUGACUGGGGAAUCUUUCUAGGUGCUAAGAAAUGAGUGGGCAAUGUAAGAAAGCACAAAGUAUAGGAACAUUGCAAGAGCAAUAAAGGGAAUUAUAAUAAAAGUCUUAAGUAUAAAAACUCUAGACAAUUGAAGAAAGAAUCUCAGAAUUUGGGGCAAAGAAGGGCAAGAGGAAAACAAUGUAAAGUUUCAUCUUCCAGUGAGGUGAGAGGGAAGGGUAAUGGAAGUGAGGGUAUUCUAAAGACAGCUUAAAGAUCUAAUUUAAUUGGCUAUGAUAAAGGAAAGGGCAAAAUACAGCAUCUUGGUGGAAGUAAUUUUGGAGUACCUUGGGGAUUGAGUCCAAGGUCUUUGCACUGAACUACGUUACCGGGCUGUAGAGGACUGAUUAAUGGUCAACUUGUAACACCCAGCUGAAUUGAAUCACCGUGGUCUGGGCAUGGAGGAUCCACCUGAGGAUUAUUACCAAUAGCCAUAAAAAGAGAACAGGAGGGGCAGAUGGUGGCCUGUUGAUUUUCUAGGAGAAGCUUGCUUCGGAUGGUUUUCCUGAUGCAAAUCAGGCUGUUCUCGUCAGAGGAGGAGCUCGGGGCCUUGCUGUUGCUCAAAAUGGAUGCUGUUUUCGUCAGGGGAGAUCGGAUCUUCACCAUGAGCAUCACUUCCUGGCUCCAAUGUGGAUCCCUCAGAGUGGUGGCACAAAUCCUUCAUCUCACCGGCAUAGAUUUUUCUGGCUUCCACCACUGACCUUUGGGCCUUCCCAGUGCAGAUCCUCAAUAGGGAAAAGCAUGAGACAUUGCUGUGGGCUCUAGGCCACUGGCUGGACUCAAGGAGGACAUUGCCUUGGACUCUAAGCCUUUAGCUGAACUUGUGUGGGAUGCUGCUGGGAUCCAGACCCUUGGCUGGAUUCUGUGGGCUUCUAGUGUGUGGUUAAUCUCUUGCACUCCUUUGCAUUUGACUUUUUUGAGUAAUUAUCAUAAAAUAAUCUUAGAAAUUAUGUGUCAUGUACUUAAUGUAUUCCCUUGCCAAACCCUGACUACAACACAGGCUUUUUUAUAUUUUGAGACAAAGUCUUCCUAAGUUGAUAAAUUGCCUAAGCUGGGCUCAAACUUCGGAUCUUUCUGUCUUAGUUUCCCAGAGUGCUAGGACUACAGGCAUGUGCCACCAAACCUGACUAAAAGUUUUAUUUUAAGUGCAGAAUAAAAAAGGUAACCAUUAAAGGGAAAGGGCAAGUAUAUUAAAAAUUUCAAAUUUACAAGGUGAAGUGAAAUGUUCAUCAAGUUAUUUAAAUCAAAAAAAAUUAGCAAAAUAGAAAAGUGGAAAUUCUUAAAAUAAAUAUCAUAGAGUAAUAUGGAAGGCAUAAAGUGACUUAAAUAUGAUUAAGUACAAUUAUUCCAUCAAAUACAGACUGUCAAGUUGACUUUUUUUUUUUUUUUGUACCAGGGAUUGAACUCUGGAGCUCGCACUUGCGAGGCAGGUGACAGAAACACUGAGCUAAAUCCUCAGCCUCAUGUCAAGUUGACUUUUAAAAAUUUAUUUAUGUAUGUGUAAGAAAGGCAUUUGACUGUUAAAAGUUGAACAUAGGGAGAUGUGUAAUAAAUUAUGAGACAAAGACAAGCAGGAGAUCAGUUACAAGUGUUACUACUACUGUCAGGAAAAGGAGCAUGUACAAGUACCAUACAUAGAAACGGAUCAUAAGGUAUACAGUUUUGUGGAAAUUUACGACCCAGAUUUGUGUUCUCUUUGGAUCUGGGUGCUUCUGCAGUAUCUGGAAGUUUUCAUUUUGAAAUGGGCCCUAGGGGUCUAGAUGCUUUAAAUAUGUUGGGUUUUUUUUUUGGUGCCGGGGAUCGAACUCCGAUCCUUGUGCUUGCAGGGCAGGUGGCGGAACCACUGAGCUAAAUAUCCAGCCCACUUUAAAUAUGUUGGAAUCUGGUUUGGGGGUUGCAAAAGAAAAGAUACAAAGAUCAGCUGGCUCUGUUGGCUCUUUGAAUGGCCCAGCUGACUAAAGAAGCACCGUGUGUGUCCAAGUUCACUCAGAGAUCCAGACCCUGGCCAUUUGUUGGAUGGGAUCUACUCUAGUGGCACCUUGGUAUCUUAUUAUUUUACUUCUUAUGGUGUUCUAGUUUGGGCUGGUGUUGCCAGGGUGGUAGAACAUUUCACUGACAUACUCUUUUUCAGAUGAAAAUGCCGAAAAGUUAUGUGCUUAUAAAUUAAUGGGUUUAUAAGAAUAUUCCUUAGGCAUGCAUGGUGCACUUGCCUAUAAUCCCAGCACUCAGAAGGCUGAGACAGGAGGCUCAUUGUGAGUUCAAGGCCAGCCUGGGCUACAUAAUGAGGCCCUGUCUCAACAAACAAACAAAAACAAAGAUAUUUAAUGAUAUUCUUCUAAUCUUUGACCCAGCAAUUCUUUUAGGAAUUUAUUCUUUGAAAAUAAUAAAAGUGUACACAAGUUAUUCACUAGAGUUUUAUACAUGAAUGUAAAUAUUGGAUAGUAGCCAAAAUUUCCAGUAAAAGAAUAUUGACUAAAUAAACUGUGUAUGUUUUACAAUGAAAUACUAUGCAAUUAUUAGAGUAAUAUAAAUAAGUGCCUCGUAAUGUUAAGAGAAAUAAAGCAGACACAUAACCUUAAGCAUCACAUAGUUUCUCAUUCUGGGUGGUCCGGAUGACACUGGCUUUGCUCAGUCUCCUUGGCAAGUCACUGUAUCCCUGAGCUCAGGGUGAGAAAGGGAGAUGUCUGGGUUCGGG